rnacentral:lncRNA from 1 species
GCAGAAAGUGAUGAAUCAGAGGCUGAAGUGAAGUUACAAAGUUAUACUCCUAUGCAAAGGAAGACUUGGCCUGUGACCAGCCUGAUUGACUGCAGGAGGGGACCAGUCAGAGGUAGAAGACACAGAGCAUCAUCCAGAUCCUCUCUUCCUUAGUGAGAGGCACACUCUGUAAAGAGUGGUGUUCAGCAGAAACUGUAGAGGCAGACCCGGAAUCAAAUCCCAGUUCUGCCAUCUCUUCUUAGCUAAGUGGCCUUGGGUGAGUGAAUUCACUUCUCUAAAACUCAGUUU